rnacentral:rRNA from 2 species
AGACCCGAAACCCGGUGAUCUAGCCAUGGGCAGGUUGAAGGUUGGGUAACACUAACUGGAGGACCGAACCGACUAAUGUUGAAAAAUUAGCGGAUGACCUGUGGCUGGGGGUGAAAGGCCAAUCAAACCGGGAGAUAGCUGGUUCUCCCCGAAAGCUAUUUAGGUAGCGCCUCGUGAAUUCAUCUCCGGGGGUAGAGCACUGUUUCGGCUAGGGGGCCAUCCCGGCUUACCAACCCGAUGCAAACUGCGAAUACCGGAGAAUGUUAUCACGGGAGACACACGGCGGGUGCUAACGUCCGUCGUGAAGAGGGAAACAACCCAGACCGCCAGCUAAGGUCCCAAAGUCAUGGUUAAGUGGGAAACGAUGUGGGAAGGCCCAGACAGCCAGGAU